GGAAAAGUAAAUUAACAAAACUGACUCAAGAAAAGGUAGAAACCACGUCUAUAGAAACAAUUAGAAGAGACUGAAAAGAAAGCUAAAGUUCAACCUCGAAAAUGGGUAACAAGCCACUGAACCGUACAAAGAGGUUCUACUAAAACUUCACGGGAAGGAGUAUUCCCAGCUUACAUAAACUGUGACCAUGACUAGGGCAGGGGGAGGGGGGAAGCUUACAUAUUAACAUGACCCAGAAUAAGACAAGGGUGGGGUAGGCAGGAAAUUAUAGGUUUAUCGUUCUUUGAAAGUAGAUGCAAAAA